UGCCAUCGUUUCCUCCUCUCUUU
rnacentral:sRNA from 1 species